rnacentral:rRNA from 1 species
AACGAACGCUGGCGGCAUGCCUAAUACAUGCAAGUCGAACGAUCACUUCGGUGGUAGUGGCGCACGGGUGCGUAACGCGUGGGAAUCUACCCUUGGGUUCGGAAUAACAGUUAGAAAUGACUGCUAAUACCGGAUGAUGACGAAAGUCCAAAGAUUUAUCGCCCAAGGAUGAGCCCGCGUAGGAUUAGCUAGUUGGUGAGGUAAAAGCUCACCAAGGCGACGAUCCUUAGCUGGUCUGAGAGGAUGAUCAGCCACACUGGGACUGAGACACGGCCCAGACUCCUACGGGAGGCAGCAGUAGGGAAUAUUGGACAAUGGGGGCAACCCUGAUCCAGCAAUGCCGCGUGAGUGAUGAAGGCCUUAGGGUUGUAAAGCUCUUUUACCCGGGAUGAUAAUGACAGUACCGGGAGAAUAAGCUCCGGCUAACUCCGUGCCAGCCGCCGCCGUAAUAC